AUACGGCCCAGACUCCUACGGGAGGCAGCAGUGGGGAAUAUUGCACAAUGGGCGCAAGCCUGAUGCAGCGACGCCGCGUGGGGGAUGACGGCCUUCGGGUUGUAAACUCCUUUCGCUAGGGACGAAGCUUUUUGUGACGGUACCUAGAUAAGAAGCACCGGCUAACUACGUGCCAGCAGCCGCGGUAAUACGUAGGGUGCGAGCGUUGUCCGGAAUUACUGGGCGUAAAGGGCUCGUAGGUGGUUUGUCGCGUCGUCUGUGAAAUUCCGGGGCUUAACUCCGGGCGUGCAGGCGAUACGGGCAUAACUUGAGUACUGUAGGGGUAACUGGAAUUCCUGGUGUAGCGGUGAAAUGCGCAGAUAUCAGGAGGAACACCGAUGGCGAAGGCAGGUUACUGGGCAGUUACUGACGCUGAGGAGCGAAAGCAUGGGUAGCGAACAGGAUUAGAUACCCUGGUAGUCCAUGCCGUAAACGGUGGGCGCUAGGUGUGAGGGUCUUUUCACGACUUUCGUGCCGUAGCUAACGCAUUAAGCGCCCCGCCUGGGGAGUACGGCCGCAAGGCUAAAACUCAAAGGAAUUGACGGGGGCCCGCACAAGCGGCGGAGCAUGUGGAUUAAUUCGAUGCAACGCGAAGAACCUUACCUGGGCUUGACAUACACCGGAUCGGGCUAGAGAUAGUCUUUCCCUUUGUGGCUGGUGUACAGGUGGUGCAUGGUUGUCGUCAGCUCGUGUCGUGAGAUGUUGGGUUAAGUCCCGCAACGAGCGCAACCCUUGUCUUAUGUUGCCAGCAUUUGGUUGGGGACUCAUGAGAGACUGCCGGGGUCAACUCGGAGGAAGGUGGGGAUGACGUCAAAUCAUCAUGCCCCUUAUGUCCAGGGCUUCACACAUGCUACAAUGGUCGGUACAACGCGCAGCGACACUGUGAGGUGGAGCGAAUCGCUGAAAGCCGGCCUUAGUUCGGAUUGGGGUCUGCAACUCGACCCCAUGAAGUCGGAGUCGCUAGUAAUCGCAGAUCAGCAACGCUGCGGUGAAUACGUUCCCGGGCCUUGUACACACCGCCCGUCACGUCAUGAAAGUUGGUAACACCCGAAGCCGGUGGCCCAAACUUGUUAGGGAGCCGUCGAAGGUGGGAUCGGCGAUUGGGACGAAGUCGUAACAAGGUACCCGUACCGGAAGGUGCGGGUG
rnacentral:rRNA from 1 species